rnacentral:rRNA from 1 species
GAACGCUGAAGCCAGAAGCUUGCAUCUGGUGGAUGAGUGGCGAACGGUGUGAGUAACACGUGAGUAACCUGCCCCCGAUUUCGGGAUAAGCCCGGGAAACUGGGUCUAAUACCGGAUACGACCAACCCUCGCAUGAGGGUUGGUGGAAAGUUUUUCGAUCGGGGAUGGGCUCGCGGCCUAUCAGCUUGUUGGUGGGGUAAUGGCCUACCAAGGCGACGACGGGUAGCCGGCCUGAGAGGGCGACCGGCCACACUGGGACUGAGACACGGCCCAGACUCCUACGGGAGGCAGCAGUGGGGAAUAUUGCACAAUGGGGGAAACCCUGAUGCAGCGACGCAGCGUGCGGGAUGACGGCCUUCGGGUUGUAAACCGCUUUCAGCAGGGAAGAAGCCGUAAGGUGACGGUACCUGCAGAAGAAGUACCGGCUAACUACGUGCCAGCAGCCGCGGUAAUACGUAGGGUACGAGCGUUGUCCGGAAUUAUUGGGCGUAAAGAGCUCGUAGGUGGUUGGUCACGUCUGCUGUGGAAAACCAACGCUUAACGUUGCGCGUGCAGUGGGUACGGGCUGACUAGAGUGCAGUAGGGGAGUCUGGAAUUCCUGGUGUAGCGGUGAAAUGCGCAGAUAUCAGGAGGAA